ACUAUGUACACUCAGGGAAAUUGAUUCUUAUGCAGAUGGGGGAUCUACGUAGUUUAGUCGCGUUACGUCAAACCCAGCCAACAAAUCACAAAUAAAAUUGACAUGAUCUGACCAAAUGACGUUGGUUUGUCAACUGCCUAGGAAUCAAUUUCUC